rnacentral:rRNA from 1 species
GCUCGUAGUUGGAUCUCAGUUCCAGACGGGUGGUCCGCCUACCGGUGGUUACUGCCCGUUCUGAACAAGCCAGCCGGUUUCUCUUGAUGAUCUUCACCGGUUGUCUUGGGUGACCGGCAAGUUUACUUUGAAAAAAUUAGAGUGCUCAAAGCAGGCGUGACGCCUGAAUAAUGGUGCAUGGAAUAAUGGAAUAGGACCUCGGUUCUAUUUUGUUGGUUUUCGGAACCCGAGGUAAUGAUUAAGAGGGACAGACGGGGGCAUUCGUAUUGCGACGCUAGAGGUGAAAUUCUUGGACCGUCGCAAGACGAACUACUGCGAAAGCAUUUGCCAAGAAUGUUUCCAUUAAUCAAGAACGAAAGUUAGAGGUUCGAAGGCGAUCAGAUACCGCCCUAGUUCUAACCAUAAACGAUGCCAGCCAGCGAUCCGGCUGUGUUCCUCAAAUGACACGCCGGGCAGCUUCCGGGAAACCAAAGCUUUUGGGUUCCGGGGGAAGUAUGGUUGCAAAGCUGAAACUUAAAGGAAUUGACGGAAGGGCACCACCAGGAUUGGAGCCUGCGGCUUAAUUUGACUCAACACGGGAAAACUUACCCGGCCCGGACACAGGAAGGAUUGACAGAUUAAGAGCUCUUUCUUGAUUCUGUGGGUGGUGGUGCAUGGCCGUUCUUAGUCGGUGGAGUGAUUUGUCUGGUUAAUUCCGUUAACGGACGAGACUCUAGCCUACUAAAUAGACGUUCCGAUCCUUCGAGUCGGACGUUCUUCUUAGAGGGACAAGUGGCGUUUAGCCGCACGAGACAGAGCAAUAACAGGUCUGUGAUGCCCUUAGAUGUCCGGGGCCGCACGCGCGCUACAUUGAAGGAAUCAGCGUGUGCUUUCCCUAUCCGACAGGAUUGGGUAACCCGUUGAACCUCCUUCGUGCUGGGGAUAGAAAAUUGUAAUUAUUUUUCUUGAACGAGGAAUUCCCAGUAAGCACGAGUCAUUAGCUCGUGUUGAUUACGUCCCUGCCCUUUGUACACACCGCCCGUCGCUACUAUCGAUUGAAUGAUUUAGUGAGGUCUUCGGACUGGCGCUCGGAUUGGUCUUCGGAUCGAGCCGAUGUGCCGGAAAGAUGUCCAAACUUGAUCAUUUAGAGAAAGUAAAAGUCGUAACAAGGUUUCC